AACUGAUACUACCUGCGGGAACCUGCGGAGGGAUCAUUACUGAAGUGAUUUGGGGAUGUUGCUGGCCCUCUCUCAAGGGGGGGCACUGUGCACUCCUCGAAACAAUUCACAACUUCCAUCACACCCCUUGUGCACACCUUGUAGGCACCCAAACCCACCUCCGGGUGGUGGGGUCCUAUGUAUUCCUUCAUCUCACACUCUGUUGAAUGGUGCCAUGGGACGCAUCUAAAGGAUUAUUUG
rnacentral:misc_RNA from 1 species